rnacentral:rRNA from 1 species
GACAGAGGGUGCAAACGUUGUUCGGAAUUACUGGGCGUAAAGCGCGUGUAGGCGGCUAAGUAAGUCGGGCGUGAAAUCCCACGGCUCAACCGCGGAAGUGCACUCGAAACUGCAUAGCUAGAGUCCUGGAGAGGAAGGUGGAAUGCUUGGUGUAGAGGUGAAAUUCGUAGAUAUCAAGCGGAACACCGGUGGCGAAGGCGGCCUUCUGGACAGUGACUGACGCUGAGACGCGAAAGCGUGGGGAGCAAACAGG